GCCUCCGUGCUGAAGCGAACGCGAUAAGUGAGCCGCCUGGGGAGUACGCCCGCAAGGGUGAAACUCAAAGGAAUUGACGGGGGCCCGCACAAGCGGUGGAGCGUGUGGUUUAAUUGAAGCUAAGCCAAGAACCUUACCAGGGCUUGACAUGCUGGUGGUACCGAGCCGAAAGGUGAGGGACCCUGCCGAAAGGUAGGGAGCCAGCACAGGUGGUGCACGGUCGUCGUCAGCUCGUGCCGUGAGGUGUUGGGUUAAGUCCCGCAACGAGCGCAACCCCUGCCCUUAGUUGCCAGCGGUUAGGCCGGGCACUCUAAGGGGACUGCCGGCGACGAGCCGGAGGAAGGAGGGGAUGACGUCAGAUACUCGUGCCCCUUAUGUCCUGGGCGACACACGCGCUACAAUGGGGUGGACAGCGGGAAGCGAGGCAGCGAUGCUGAGCAAAUCCCUGAAACCACCCCCCAGUUCAGAUUGUGGGCUGAAACCCGCCCACAUGAAGCCGGAAUCGCUAGUAAUCGCGGAUCAGCCACGCCGCGGUGAAUACGUUCU
rnacentral:rRNA from 1 species